UUUAUGUAGCAGCCCCCCAGCUCUGUCUGUGUCCUGUAGUGUGGCGGAGAGAAGUUUUACAGACGGGUGGAUCUUGCCAUCCCCAGAAGCUACUGGCAAACAGAACAGGAAUCAGUCAAGGAUAUCCAACUGAACAUCAGUCAUGCAUGGGGAACAGCCAGCGAGGAGAAUGAGCUCGAUCAUCCGUGCAGAUCCCGAGGGGGUUGGUGGCACCUUAUUUGGGGAGGAGGAGCUCGUGGUAAGACUUCCGCCCCACAGCUAAUCCAAGAUAGAGGUACUAUCAUGGACGCAGCUGCAAUAGCUUGCUUACAAACAUACAUAUCAUAGCAGCUCAUAGCAGAAUUUACAACGGAUUUCAUAGACACU